CAUGCAAGUCGAGCGAUGAAACUACUUCGGUAGUGAAUUAGCGGCGAACGGGUGAGGAACACGUGAGGAAUCUGCCUUCUACACUGGGAUAACUCCGGGAAACCGGGGCUAAUACCGGAUAUGAAACUUGGUGGCAUCACCGAGUUUGGAAAGUUUUUCGGUAGAAGAUGACCUCGCGGCCUAUCAGCUUGUUGGUGAGGUAAUGGCUCACCAAGGCGACGACGGGUAGCCGGCCUGAGAGGGCGACCGGCCACACUGGGACUGAGACACGGCCCAGACUCCUACGGGAGGCAGCAGUGGGGAAUAUUGGGCAAUGGAGGAAACUCUGACCCAGCGACGCCGCGUGCGGGAUGAAGGCCUUCGGGUUGUAAACCGCUUUCAGUAGGGAAGAAGCGAAAGUGACGGUACCUACAGAAGAAGCACCGGCUAACUAUGUGCCAGCAGCCGCGGUAAUACAUAGGGUGCAAGCGUUGUCCGGAAUUAUUGGGCGUAAAGAGCUCGUAGGUGGUUCGUUACGUCGGAUGUGAAAAUCUGGGGCUCAACCCCAGACCUGCAUCCGAUACGGUCGAGCUAGAGUUUGGUAGGGGAGACUGGAAUUCCUGGUGUAGCGGUGGAAUGCGCAGAUAUCAGGAGGAACACCAAUGGCGAAGGCAGGUCUCUGGGCCAAUACUGACACUGAGGAGCGAAAGCGUGGGGAGCGAACAGGAUUAGAUACCCUGGUAGUCCACGCCGUAAACGGUGGGCGCUAGUUGUGGGAACCUUCCACGGUUUCUGCGACGCAGCUAACGCAUUAAGCGCCCCGCCUGGGGAGUACGAUCGCAAGAUUAAAACUCAAAGGAAUUGACGGGGCCCCGCACAAGCAGCGGAGCAUGCGGCUUAAUUCGACGCAACGCG
rnacentral:rRNA from 1 species